GAUGGAUUACAAGUUAGGACUGCUGCUUUUAGCUGUUUGCUGGGCAGGUGUUGAUGCUCAGACUCUGAGAGAAUCUGAACCGGUGGUUAAAAGGCCUGGAGAGUCUCACACACUGACCUGCACAGCCUCGGGAUUCACAUUCAGCGGCUACAGGACGGUUUGGGUCAGACAGGCUCCUGGAAAAGGGCUGGAGUGGAUUGCUUAUAUCAGCACUUACAGUUCUCCUAUCUAUUACUCCCAGUCAGUCCAGGGUAGAUUCACCAUCUCCAGAGACGACUCCAGCAGUAAAGUCUACCUACAGAUGAGCAGCCUGAGGACUGAGGACACAGCAGUUUAUUACUGUGCCCGAUGUGACACACAGUAA